rnacentral:tmRNA from 1 species
GGGGAUGGAAGGAUUUGAUUGAUAGUACUUUUAAAAUAUGGGCGCAAGCCAAGUUGCUGAUACUUGUAAAUCGCAGCAAAACCAUAUUUGCCGAUGAUGAAAUGGCAUACGCACCUGUUGAUGCUUACGCAUACGCAGGAGCAAUGGCCUAAACUUAGUUUAAGGUCAGGUUCUAAAGUCUCUGUCCGAAGGGGUUUAUAGAAUCUAAUAAAAUCGGAAUGAGGGGUGCAAAAAAUGGUAAAAAUGCAACCCGAGAGCAAAAGCUCAAAGAAAAUACCUAAAAAGGGAUAACAGGGUAUGUUAAAGACCUUGCCUUUUGAGAUAAACUUUUAACUAAGCUUGUAGAUGUUCAUAUUUGGUCUUUCAAGACAGGGGUUCAAUUCCCCUCAUCUCCACCA